rnacentral:lncRNA from 1 species
AAAUGAAUAAAAAUUCUGCAAAAUUUUUAUGUUCUAUUUUUAGUCUACUUUCAGAAAGAAAACGUUGUUUCAGCGCUUGUCUGUAUGAAGAGAGGAAACAUAAAUUGGAAAAUGUCUUCUUUUUUCGAGGUCUUUAUGACUUUUUUAUCGAAGAUAACAACUUUCCAAUCAGCAUCACUAACUUGUGUGUCGAUUUUAUAAAAUAACUUUCACAAAAAUGUUUCCAUUUUUUUUAUUUUUUUUUAUAUUUUUAGUGCUGAUCCUUCCGUAUCAUCCAUCACGCAGACUUGUAUGCUGAAAGAUUCCUUAAAAAUCGUCGAUAAUGAGUAAAAUGCUUGUUAAAUUGCCAUUUAAUAUUAUAUACCGCAGCAUAAAAUUAUUGUGGCCAUUUUAUUA